UCAGUUUGCUGCCUGUAAACUGGGGACGAUGCUACCAGCCUUUCAGAAUUAUUGUGCCAAUUGAAUGAAGUCAGGAGUGCCAAGCACUUGGCACAAGUAUGUUCCUUCCCAACACUGGACACUGGUGUCCACCGUGGAGGAUGGUGGGGACGGGGUGAAGGUGGAUAUUGAGUGGGUCACGUAGUUUCAACAUAUUUCUGCAGAGAAAGCACUUGCAAAGGUUUGGAUGGGUGACAGGGCAAAAUUGGAGAAUAUUAUGUUCCCAAACAGUUUGCUGUGCCUGGAACGAAUGCUGGUCAAGACAAGGAAGAGACCAAAAAAUGAUCAUCUGGGAUGAGGAUGGGAAAGGCCUUGAGCCAGGCUCAAGGGCGGGGGCUCCGCCUGCAGUCCUGCUGACAUGUGGCCUGGCAGUCACAGCUGGGGCCAUGUGAUUCAUAUGGACCUGGACUCGAAUUCCAGUUCUGCCACUUGGGCAAGUCCCUUAAGCUCUGUCUUAAGGAGUUCCCGCUGAAGCAGGCCCUGAGACUUGGGUGCUGGGACUAAAUUUGGGAAGUGAUUUUAAGAAGCAGAAGUGAAGGCUAAGAAAGUAAUAGGGGGCACAUCAGUGUGCAGUCGUCCUUCAGGUUGAGUCCCAGCCUGGAGCCCGGGGAGAGGUGUGAGCCCCACCUCAGAACCACGCUAUCUGAGCUGGGGGAGGAUGGGCUGGGUACCAACUCGCUUGAUGGUUGAAGGUGGCCCUUGGGGUACGGGACACCUCUCCCUUUUGCCUGGUCCCCAGAUGCCUGAGCUGAAUGAAGCAGGAUCUUGAGUUGGCAGCUCAGCUCGCUAGAGGCAACCACAGGGGAACAGAGGAGGAACGAGGGUGGGGCAGCUGUCAACAGCACCUUCUGUUACCUCUUUGAGCAUCUGUCUUCUCAUCUGAAAACACAGGAAGAAUUUUUUUUUUCAUCUGAAAAUGGGAAGACACACUUCACAGGAGGAUUCAGUGAGGAAACACACUUGAAAGGACCUAAUGAGAUGUGUGACACAUGGUGAAUCAUUAAUACGUGGUAGAUACGCUGGGCUCAGCUCAACCACCAACUUCUCAGAAACUCCCUCCCUGACAUCCUGUGGAGAGCGGCUUGCUCCCUUUGUUCUCCACCAGGACGUCCUGUUUUCUACAGAGAAUGCAUGACAGCAU
rnacentral:lncRNA from 1 species